rnacentral:rRNA from 1 species
UACGUAGGGUGCAAGCGUUGUCCGGAAUUAUUGGGCGUAAAGAGCUCGUAGGCGGCUUGUUGCGUCGGUUGUGAAAGCCCGGGGCUUAACCCCGGGUCUGCAGUCGAUACGGGCAGGCUAGAGUGUGGUAGGGGAGAUCGGAAUUCCUGGUGUAGCGGUGAAAUGCGCAGAUAUCAGGAGGAACACCGGUGGCGAAGGCGGAUCUCUGGGCCAUUACUGACGCUGAGGAGCGAAAGCGUGGGGAGCGAACAGG